AUGAUUGUCUUUGGUUGAGCCAUGUUCUUAGCAAGCAGAAGCCUUGGCCAGGGUCUGCUGUUGGCUCUUGAGGAGCACUUAGCCCACCUACUGGGGACUAGAGGUGCCACUUCUACCAUGGGUAAUUCCUGUAUCUGUUGAGAUGACAGUGGGGCAGAAGACAGUGUGGACACCAACCAGCAGCAGGCUGAGAACAGUGCAGUCCCCACUGCUGACUUGAGGACCCAACCCUGGGACCCUGUUCAGCCUCCAAGGAGGGGCUGAGGACCACAUGAGCCAAGGAGAAAGAAACAAAAUGUGGUUGGGCUAGUGCUGGACACAAUGGCAGUAAUACAGACUCUUGUAGAUAAUGAUUGGGAGCCUACCUAUUCAAUGAUUACAUUAAAUGAAAUGGCAGAAACAGAUGAAGGAUGGUUGGAUGUUGUCCAGUCUUUAAUUAGAGUUAUUCCAUUGGAAGAUCCAUUGGGACCAGCUUUUAUAAUAUUGUUACUAGAUGAAUGUCCAUUGCCCACUAAAGAUGCACUCCAGAAAUUGACUGAAAUUCUCAAUUUAAAUGGAGAAGUAGCUUGUCAGGUCUCAGGCCAUCCUGCCAAACACAGUAACACAUCUGCUGUCAUAGGAUGCUUGGCUGAGAAAUUAGCAGGUCCUGCUAGUAUAGGUUUACUUAGCCCAGGAAUACUGGAAUAUUUACUACAGUGUCUGAAGUUACAGUCCCACUCCACAGUUAUGCUUUUUGCACUUAUUGCACUGGAAAAGUUUGCACAGACAAGUGAAAACAAAUUGACUAUCUCUGAGUCCAGUAUUAGUGACCAGCUUGUCACCUUGGAGUCCUGGGCUGAUGAUCCUGAAGCGUCAAGUUGGCUUCUGUGCCCAGUGGAGUUUAGACAAUCUUUUUUUAAAAGAAGGUAGACAACUGACCUAUGAGAAAGUAGACUUGAGUAGCAUAAGGGCCAUGCUGAACAGCAAUGAUGUCAGUGAGUACCUGAAGAUCUCAUCUCAUGGCUUGGAGGCUCAUUGUGAUGCCUCCUCUCUUGAAAGUGUGCACUGCACUUUUUGUGUGGAUCCUGGGGUAUGGUACUAUGAAGUAACAGUGGUCACUUCUGGUGUCAUACAGAUUGGCUGGGCCACUAGAGACAGCAAGUUUCUCAAUCACGAAGGUUAUGGCAUUGGGGAUGAUGAAUACUCCUGUGCAUAUGAUGGCUGCCAGCAGGUGAUUUGGUACAAUGCCAGAAGUAAGCCUCACGCACACCCAUGCUGGAAAAAGGAGACACAGUUGGGUUUCUGUUAGACUUGAAUGAAAAGCAAAUGAUCUUUUUUUUAAAUGGCAACCAGCUGCCCCCUGAGAAGCAAGUCUUUUCAUCUACUGUAUCUGGAUUUUUUGCUGCAACUAGUUUCAUGUCAUAUCAACAAUGUGAGUUCAAUUCUGGAGCAAAACCAUUCAAAUAUCCACCAUCUAUGAAAUUUAGCACUUUUAAUGACUAUGCCUUCCUAACAGCUGAAGAAAAAAUCAUUUUGCUGAGGCACAGAUGUCUUGCUCUGUUGAAGCAAGUCAAUAUCCGAGAGAACUGCUGUUCCCUUUGUUGUGAUGAGGUAGCAGACACACAGUUGAAGCCAUGUGGACACAGUGACCUGUGCAUGGAUUGAGCUUGCAACUGGAGACCUGCCCAUUGUGUCAUAAAGAAAUAGUGUCUACAGUCAGACAGAUUUCUCAUAUUUCAUGA